UGGGCAGGCCAAGGUCCUGGAGCUGCCCUUUCUGCCUUCUCCUCUCCCCCUUCCCCCCAUACUCCCUUCCAUUCCUUCCCACUCCCUUCUUCUCACCUCCCUCUUUCCAGCCUCCUGCCUCCUGGUUCUCAGCCCCUCUGCUUCUCCUUUCCUCUGUCUCCCUCAAUUUUCUGUAUCUUCCCUUCCUUGCUUGUUUCCACUCUGUUCUUCACUUCCCCGCAUCCUGCCAGAUUUUAAACUCUGUUCAAAAAGCUUCUCCAAACCUCUUCUCCUUCCUGAGUUUGCCAGAUCCUCCCAGGCUCUCCUCCUUCACCCAGUCCCCUGCCCUAAAUCCACCUCUGCUCUUUCCUGGCACUGGAUGCCUACUUGGAGGAGGAGCCUUCUGGAGACACCGACCCUCGACCCCGAGUUGUGAGUCUGACUGUGGAAAUCCUUGGCCCCCAGGGCAGGCCCAUGCAGGGUUUGGAGGAUAAAUUUGGAAACGAAAAGGUUUUCUGGAGCCCCUCAAAUCACACAGCGCAGGAGGAGCAUCGGCACGAGAACUCAGUGAAACAGCGUGGCAGAAGGCUUUGCACAGCGCUUGGUGGAUAGAAAGGGCACCGUGCUUUCUAUUUCUGCCGUAACACUUGGCUUCAGAACGGUCUCAGCCAGCAGCUUGCAGCCCAGGCAUUGAGAGCUGAUCCCAGGCAAGUGCCCGGCAGGGUCUCACAUUGCAAGCUCUCAGGUAGAUGUUAACGUUCACUCUGAGCUCUGGAGCCAGUCCAGGCCAUGGAGGCUGCGCCGAACCCCAAUCUAGUUCACCUUCCUUGAACAGCAGCUCACCACCCCUCCUGUUCAUCCUCAGCUGCCCACACCUAGCCUGGUUCUGUAGGAAACUCCAUCCUCAGGGAAGAAGCAGGAGUAGGCUGCUGCAGAGCCAGCCAGCAAAUUCUUGAAGCAUGAACAGGUUAGUUUUCAUCAAAAGAUUUGAAAGUUCUGGACAGCCAGAUACCUCUCUUUGGGAUAACAACAUUUAUAGGCCCUAAGACCUGUCUUCCAGCUCCUGUGUGCACUGGCUGUCUGCCUUCCGAUGCCCACGCCCACACCAUCACCUCAGAGUUCCAGAAUCCCCAAGCCAGGCUCUCUGAGGCCUUUUCCACCCCCUAGAGGUCUCAGGGCCUGAUCCAAUUCCUGUAAAGUAGGCAUCCAGCCUGGAGGCACCAGGGGGCCCUAGGCUUAGUCCCCAAGCAUAUGCAGCCCAGCCUCAGCCCUGAUUCUCCAGGUGUGGACAGCAUCCCCAUUUACACUCUGACUCCCAUGACAGGGCAUCUACUGCUUCUCCUCUUGCCAGGCUGCUCAGCAAGUUCUGCCCCUUGGAGCCAGUGAUGCUUAAUUUUAUGUGUCAACUUGACUGGGCCAUGGGAUGCCCAGAUGUUUCAGUCUCUUUUCUGUUGCUAUAACAGAAAACCUGUGUGAAAGGAAACUCAUUAAGCCAAAGGGAAAAGUUAAGCUGGGAACUGGGUCACGCAAACCAGCCUCCCCUUUUCUUGUUCCUAAAUAAGAUGGCUACAAGAUGAAAAGCUACAUGUCUCCCCCAUAGUUUGCCCAUAAGGAAAUUCCUAGUAAGCUUCAAGAUCUUUAUCCUAAAGUUUUUCUGUUAAAAUUUCACUAUGGCAAUGAAAAUUGGUAGCUUACCUUUACAGGUGCAGUCACCCCCGCUCCACCCACCAGAAACAAAUGCAUGUCUGAUUGUUCUCCUGCCCUAUUUUGUCCAUGUUAUCUUAUGUAAAAAUGCAGAUUCCCUGCAUUUUUCCUCUGCCCCAUUUGUCUAUGUUAUUGUCAGUCAAAAAAAAAAUGUGGAUUCACUGAGCCAGACAAAGGCAUGAAUGACUAUUUUUCCCUACCUGCUCUUACAUGAAAAUUGUUGACUUCUCAAUACCCUGCCCUUUCCCCUUUAAAUUUGGAGCCCUCAAAAUCAUCUUCAGAGAAAGGCAUAGACCUGUCUCCUGGGCACGUGUCCUUAACUUUGGCAAAUAAACCUCCU
rnacentral:lncRNA from 1 species